rnacentral:lncRNA from 1 species
GUUAGUGGAGCACUUGGUUAAAUACCCUGAGCCCAGGUGGCUCCAAUCACACCAGCUGCAAUCACUAACGACCCUCCUCUGCCUGCAGGGGGAACCACCCCUGCACUGCAGAGGAGGAGCCGUGACAGUUAUGAUACCAUUUAGGACUUUGAGCGUGGCUGAGGUGCACCCAUGACCAGCUCGGAAACCAGAUUGCAUAGUGAGAAGUUACAGUCUUGUCCCAUCGCUGCAACUCCCGUACGGACUCGGGAGAGGUGAAGGGACAGAGCCGUGCGUCCUCCGAAACACAACCCAGCCAAGCCGCAAUGCUUCUUGACACAAUGCCCGCUUAACCCGGAAGCCAGUUGCACCAUGAUGUGUUGCAGGAAACACCGUACACCUGGGGACCUUGUCAGCGUGGAUUGCGCCCGGCCCGCCACAGGAGUCGCUAGUGCUCGAUGGGACAAGAACUUCCCUGUCGGCCAAACCCUCCCCUAACCCGGACGACGCUGGGCCAAUUGUGCGCCGCCCCAUGGGUCUCCCGGUCGCGGCCGUCUGCGACAGAGCCUGGAUCUCUAGUGGCACAGCUAGCACUGCGAUGCAGUGCCUUAGACUACUGCACCACUCGGGAGGCCUUAUAUUUUGGUGGGGAACGACAGUUGAACUAAGUGCAUGAGGUUCAUGGGGCAUCAUCACAGUGGACCAGUCCCCUCCGGUCCUCUCUGUCCAGCCUGGAGACACAAGACAUUGGCAAUGAUAUGGAGGUGCACCAGUUUAAACCUGGACAGGCACCCAAAACUCUUUUUAUGAUGGUAACCAGAGGUAUUUGUGCACACCCGGUCGGUUCAGUGGCCUCUAUACUGGAGCUCUCACCACCUUCACUAUCAGUUGAGUACAAGCAGAGGACGAAGCUUAGUAUUACUGACCAACACAGUGAAACAUUUCCAUCCACACAGUGAAAUACGGCUGUGCAUAAACCUCAGAUCACUGUUCUCAUAUGAGAAUGUUGCCAAGCUCCAGUGCACAGUUUAGCUUCAUUGAAAAACUGUUCCAUGCUUGUAACCUCGGUCUACACUAGACUCUACAUUCGGUCAAAACAGCCUCUCUCGUAUGUGCUAGAGCUCAUAUGGACAUUUGGGAUCUACAUUUUCUUAUUGAAAACAUGUUGUUUCUGGAUAUUUUGCUUCCAUCAAUAAUGACAUAUCUACUGUACAUGGACAACCUCUCAGACUCUUUAUGCAGGAGCUAUAAAGUCCCAAGUUACCUGGGACAUGAUACAGCUGAUCCUGGAAUAAAGGCUGUUAUGAUUUUUUAUUUAUUUACAUUGAUGGAUAUUGAAUUGAGAAAUGGGACCAGGCUAGGAAUCACUGUGAUGACAUGAUCAGUAUGGGAUGAUUCCUGGUGCUAAAUCUUUCAUCUGUAUUGAGCUAUUUGUGUACACAAAGAUACAUCCACUGGAUUGAUCAGUAAGGUAAGGAGUCAUGUUUGAAAUUGUAAUGUUAUUGAGUUGGUAAAACAAUUUGAAAACAAAUCUUUAACUCCCACUGUAAGAUUGUUCAUAGUUUAUAACAAAUCAAUAGAAAUAUAAUCUCUCUCACUGAAAAGAGUUGUACAAAAUUAUGAUAAACAAUUGAAUAGUUACAUUAAAUGAUGGAUAAUUUGUAUCAUACUGUAGUGGUUGAUAUUUGUUUAGAAAUUCUGUUAACUAGUUCCGUUCAUGGACCAGUGAGUUUAGUGGAGGAGAGGUUUUUGAACAACCUCCUCAUCUGUUUAAAUCAUUGUGGUACAAGUUUGGGCAAACGACCAAACUGAUCGUUAAGAGUAAGUUGCAAAUAUUUCUAGAAUGUAUCUAAUCAAUAGACUAUAUUGUUUAUAGACAUUUCUGUUAUUAUUGUAAGUGGAACCAUCAUGGUGUAAUUGUGAACAGAUAUUUUACUGUAACAAACAACUAAUUUAAUUAUAAACAAGAGUGUAUUAUUCUUUCAGAGACAUUUUGAUAUUGGCCUCUCUAUGCUGCUGAAUUGGAAUGGAUCCAUCAAAACACUGCAGCUGUGUACGCUGUUUAAUGAUUUUCUUUAUUUAAUCAAUUUCAUAAAUCUAAUGUUUUGGUAACACUUUAUUUCAUCCUAUCAUAUUAUACAUUUCAUGAAGCCUUCAUAAAUGCUUAUAAAUGCUUUAAAAAUGAUAAAUGUUCUACAUUUUCAUGGAAUGGAAGGCUUAGAAUGCUUAUAAAUGUUUACACAUUUAUUCAUGAUAGUUAUUAUAAUAAAGUGUUACCAAUAUUUUUCUUAAUUAUAUUGUAUUUUACAAAUGUACAAAAUAUAUUAUUUACAUAUAUUAUUAUGUAAAUCAAUAAUAGAUGUAUUGUCUAUCUGCAUUUAUACAUAUUUCAAUCUGUUUAUGCUGGAGGCAAUGGAAAUACUAAG